rfam:Solanum lycopersicum cultivar Heinz 1706 chromosome 4, whole genome shotgun sequence.
GGGAUAUGAUAGGUGGUCAAUACUCGCAAUAAAAUAUGCGAGAUGGGCGUUCCAGCUCAGCCUGGUUACGACAAUUUGAGCGCUCUCGUUCAAACCAAUCUGAUCCC